UACGGGGGGGGCAAGCGUUGUUCGGAAUUACUGGGCGUAAAGGGCUCGUAGGUGGCCAACUAAGUCAGACGUGAAAUCCCUCGGCUUAACCGGGGAACUGCGUCUGAUACUGGAUGGCUUGAGUGUGGGAGAGGGAUGCGGAAUUCCAGGUGUAGCGGUGAAAUGCGUAGAUAUCUGGAGGAACACCGGUGGCGAAGGCGGCAUCCUGGACCGGUAUUGACGCUGAGGCGCGAAAGCCAGGGGAGCAAAGCGGG
rnacentral:rRNA from 1 species